rnacentral:tRNA from 1 species
GCGACACUAGCUCAGUUGGUAGAGCGCAACCUUGCCAAGGGUGAGGUUGCGAAGGUUGAGGUCACGAGUUCGAACCUCGUGUGUCGCUCCA